CUCCCCAUCUCCUUCCCCUAAAAAAACUGCCCAUCUCCUUCCCCUAAAAACGAACUCCCCAUCGCCUCAUCUCAGAAAAUAAAAAACCCUCUCACACACGCCGCCGCCGCAGCAGAAGCAGCCGCCGUGUUCGCCUCGCUGCAUACAGCUGGUCGAUCAUAGCAAUCUUUCCAUAUGCUUAAUACCCUCAUGCCUUCAAACUUUCCAAGCGCUUAAUCCCCUCAUGCGUUCAAACUUUAUCCGUGCAAUUUCCCGGAUCUUCGUUUCUCUUUGUGUUGUGGCGGCCGUUGUGCGAGUCAACGUGCUUGAGCGCGUCAGGUUCGGUUUCAAGGUGCAGUGAUGGAGUAUGAUGCUAUUGGCUUGCUGCCUACUUCUAGGCUUGGUUUGGGGCUCCUUCAAGUCUUGAUCCAUGGCUA